UUCCCCACAACUGUGAUGCUUUAUCCUUUGACAUUAAGAAUGCUGUUUGCAGAAGUAACAUUCCUUUGAACACUCAGCUUUCUGAAAUGGUGUCCCACCGCAAGGACUGGAGAAGGGUAAACCUCAGGUUCUCCUCCUGCCUUUUGCUAAGUAUAUGUCUUGAUGACAAGCCUUCUGCUGAUGAGCUGUGUUUCUGGACCGAUCAUGGUAGAAGUCAAUUAACGUGUCCCUCACUUGGGGUUUCUCAAGGCUGCACUGAUGAGGAAACUGAAACAGAAAAUCCAGAGUAAAUUCCACCAGGCCACACAGCAAGGUCUGAUAGAGCCAGGAGAGACUUUAUGAAAUCCAGACUCUCACACUAAUGCUCUAUCAGCUAGACCUCCAUGUGAGUCUCCCCAAUGUAGGUAGGAAGUGCUUUCCCUAAAAUGCUCAUAAAGCAAAUCAGAGCAAUG
rnacentral:lncRNA from 10 species